rnacentral:rRNA from 1 species
AAAGCGUGCGCAGGCGGUUUUGUAAGACUGUCGUGAAAUCCCCGGGCUCAACCUGGGAAUGGCGAUGGUGACUGCAAGGCUAGAGUUUGGCAGAGGGGGGUAGAAUUCCACGUGUAGCAGUGAAAUGCGUAGAUAUGCGGAGGAACACCGAUGGCGAAGGCAAUCCCCUGGACCUGUACUGACGCUCAUGCACGAAAGCGUGGGGAGCAAACAGGAUUAGAUACCCCGGU